rnacentral:rRNA from 1 species
GUGGGGAAUUUUGGACAAUGGGCGCAAGCCUGAUCCAGCAAUGCCGCGUGCAGGAAGAAGGCCUUCGGGUUGUAAACUGCUUUUGUACGGAACGAAAAGGCUCUGGUUAAUACCUGGGGCUCAUGACGGUACCGUAAGAAUAAGCACCGGCUAACUACGUGCCAGCAGCCGCGGUAAUACGUAGGGUGCAAGCGUUAAUCGGAAUUACUGGGCGUAAAGCGUGCGCAGGCGGUUUUGUAAGACAGGAGUGAAAUCCCCGGGCUCAACCUGGGAAUGGGGCUUGUGACUGCAAGGCUGGAGUGCGGCAGAGGGGGAUGGAAUUCCGCGUGUAGCAGUGAAAUGCGUAGAUAUGCGGAGGAACACCGAUGGCGAAGGCAAUCCCCUGGGCCUGCACUGACGCUCAUGCACGAAAGCGUGGGGAGCAAACAGGAUUAGAUACCCUGGUAGUCC